ensembl:lncRNA
CAGGGCGGAAGGAACGCGGUCUGCCUGCGGGAGGGUCGUCGCCUCCCCGAGGCCUGUCGCCUACCCGAGGCCUCAGCGUCCCAGGAGCGGCCCCCGCCCCUUUAAUCUUUUCUGAGGGGGGCGUCGCGGGAGCGCGGCCCUUUUGAAAUGCCGCGGAGGGUCGGCCGCCGGAUUUCAGGGCUUCCCCGCCGGCGUCGAGGUGGAGAAGCACGCUUGCUCGCGGUGGAGUCGGGCGGAGGAGCCGGGGCAGCCUUGGGAAUCCGAGGCCCGGGCGGCCGAAGCUGGGGGCCGGGUCCUAACCCUCUGGACGCGGCAGUUUGUGUGGUCUGCACCUCAGAACUGGGGCCUGAUUUCCUGGAGAGGCUGAGGCUGCCGAGAUGAGUUUCCAGUACCGAGCACUGCAGCUGUAUAUCACCAAACAGUGUUUUGUUUUUAAAAACCUUUUUCCUCAGUCGGCCUUGUCUCACCUUUUCCUUUCUUUUGUUCGUUUUUUCUGUUUCAUUACUUAGGGGAGUGGGCGUUGUCCGUGGUGAAAUAAAAACUGGGACGGGAUCUUCGCCCAGUUGGCGCUUUCUCGGCGCGCUGACCUGUGGUCGAGGCUUGGAGCCAAGCUCUGGAGAGGGCGGAGGCCCCGAGCGGAGAUUUCUAUUAUAGAUCAAUGCAGAAUGGAUCAAAACGGAAAGAAGCGUCUCUGGCCAGAAGAAGUUUUCAUUGGAAGAAAUAACAUCCCUAAAGAUGGAACGUGUAAAUCAGGAAUUGAGCCAAGAAAAAGCCUGGGAGGGGAAGAAACCAUUAAUGAGAAAGGCACAGAAGAAACAAAAGCAGAGAGGGACUAACUGAUGGAGCAAGACUUUGGAGAUGGAGCAACAAGGACAAGAUGGCGCAACAAGGACAAGAUGGCUGGAUUGGUCUUGACCAAGAGGAUUCUUCCAAGAAGAAACAUGGAUCAAUCAAUCUAUCUAUCUAGGCUUCCCUGGUGGCUCAGUUGGUAAAGAAUCUACCUGCAGUGCAGGAUUCCACCUGCAAUGCAGGAGACCCAGGGUCAAUCCCGGGUCAGGAAGAUCCCCUGGAGAAGGAAAUGGCAACCCACUCCAGUAUUCUUUCCUGGGAAAUCCCAUGGUCAGAGGAGCCUAGUGCACUACAGUCC